rnacentral:SRP_RNA from 11 species
GGGAGGAGCUGUGUUCAUCAACAAGGAUGACAUGGCAAUGGGCAAGGAACGAGGGUGGCCUUUCUGCGGUCAAAAUGAGUGGACCAUGGCUCAGGACGGCAAAAAAACAGCAUAAACCAGUGUAAAAGCACUGCACUGUUGGGUGCAAGACUGCAGUGAGUUAGUUGGCA